rfam:Salmo salar isolate Sally breed double haploid chromosome ssa09, whole genome shotgun sequence.
UGCACUCACUACUGUAAGUCGCUCUAGAUAAGAGCGUCUGCUAAAUGACAAAAA